GGAGCAGGGUAGUGUGUAUAACUAGGGAGCAGGGUAGUGUAUAUAUCUAAGGAGCAGGGUAGUGUAUAUAUCUAGGGAGCAGGGUAGUGUCUAUAACUAGGGAGCAGGGUAGUGUGUAUAACUAGGGUAGUGUAUAUAUCUAGGGAGCAGGGUAGUGUGUAUAACUAGGGUAGUGUAUAUAACUAGGGAGCAGGGUAGUGUAUAUAACUAGGGUAGUGUAUAUAACUAGGGUAGUGUAUAUAACUAGGGUAGUGUAUAUAUCUAGGGAGCAGGGUAGUGUAUAUCUAAGGAGCAGGGUAGUGUAUAUAACUAGGGAGCAGGGUAGUGUCUAUAACUAG
rnacentral:lncRNA from 1 species